rnacentral:rRNA from 1 species
GACAGAGGUCCCGAGCGUUAGGCGGAAUCACUGGGCUUAAAGCGUGUGUAGGCGGCGGCCUAAGUACCUUGUGAAAUCCCACGGCUCACCCGUGGAACUGCUCGGUAUACUGGGUCGCUUGAGCCACUUAGGGGCUACCGGAACAAAUGGUGGAGCGGUGAAAUGCGUAGAUAUCAGGAGGAACACCGGUGGCGAAGGCGGGUCUCUGGGCAGUAACUGACGCUGAGGAGCGAAAGCGUGGGGAGCAAACAGG